UACGUAGGGGGCAAGCGUUGUCCGGAUUUAUUGGGCGUAAAGAGCGUGUAGGCGGUUUGGUAGGUCCGCUGUGAAAACUCGAGGCUCAACCUCGAGACGCCGGUGGAAACCAUCAGACUAGAGUCCGGAAGAGGAGAGUGGAAUUCCGUGGUGUAGCGGUGAAAUGCGCAGAUAUCAGGAAGAACACCCGUGGCGUAAGGCGGCUCUCUAGUACGGUA
rnacentral:rRNA from 1 species